rnacentral:rRNA from 1 species
CCUACGGGAGGCAGCAGUGGGGAAUUUUGGACAAUGGGCGCAAGCCUGAUCCAGCUAUUCCGCGUGUGGGAUGACGGCCCUCGGGUUGUAAACCACUUUAGUAGAGAACGAAAAGGAGCUAUCGAAUAAAUAGCUCUGCUGACGGUACUCUAAGAAUAAGCACCGGCUAACUACGUGCCAGCAGCCGCGGUAAUACGUAGGUGGCAAGCGUUAUCCGGAAUGACUGGGCGUAAAGGGUGCGUAGGUGGUUUAGUAAGUUGGCGGUGUAAUUCCGGGGCUCAACCUCGGCGCUACCGCCAAAACUAUUAGACGAGAGUGCAGGAGGGGUAAGUGGAAUUCCUAGUGUAGCGGUGGAAUGCGUAGAUAUUAGGAGGAACAUCAGGGGCGAAGGCGACUUACUGGACUGUAACUGACACUGAGGCACGAAAGCGUGGGGAGCAAACAGGAUUAGAUACCCGGGUAGUC